AUCGCUUCUUAGCCUUUUGGCUAAGAUCAAGUGUUCUUUGUUAUCUGUUCUUAUCAGUUUAAAAUCUGAUUUUCUCUCCCUAAGGGCAGUAAAUUAAAUGGAUUUUUAAAAUAUAGAGCUGGAAUAGGAGCUUUCUCUGUAUCCAUGUACUGACCUGGUAUUUCAGGACCUUGAGAAACAGGACAUCAGAA